GUUACUCAAGGAGGCAUGAAUCAACGGGCAAAAAGCUCAAGAGUAGGGAAUGACACGGUGUAGGUCGGAUGAGACCAGAUUAAAGUAGCAGUGAAACCAGACAGAAGAGGCAUUUAGGAAGAAAGAGAAAGUUCCAGGAGAGUUUCAAGCAAUAGUUUAAGGAAGAUUAGUCUGGCAAGUAAUAUGCAGGCUGGUGGCAGCUAAGAUGGAAAAGAACAAGGAAAAUUAUCUAUUAGCCAUUCAUAGCAGUGGUAAUGGAGAGAAAUGGAGAGAUAAGAAACAAAGGAAAAAACUGAAAAGUAUGGAUGACUAGCUGGAUGUAGAGGAUACCCUGGUCCUCAGUGGCGGUAAAGACUGAGACCACUUUGUUUGGGCUGCUUUCUUGGACAGUGGUUUCAAGCCAUUGUGUCCAGAGUAUCGUGAGUACAAUCGACUCAUUGAUAAGGAAAAUUUUUUCUCGCUGCCCACAGCUUUCAUCACUUGGUUCUGAAGGACACAGUGGAGGGAACAAAUAAUGAGCGUGGUCUGGAUAACAGUUUGAAGAGAGAGACCAUUGAUUACAAUACAGAUAGAACUGCACUUCAUCAACUUAGCGGAAAGCAGCUGACAGUGGACUUCACACCUAACUCGAAUAAGGAAUUGCUAUGAAAAGUGACCCAGCGAGGAUAACUGCCCUGCGCGGUUCGAUGAGGUCACGGCAGGCAGGAGGGUAAGGACUCCAAGAACCGCAGCAGCAGCAUCGGGGGCCCAGGACCCGGACCCGGACCGGGAUGCGCCCCGGAAGCCAGCGGCUCCUGGCGGUAGCGAGGAGUGGUUAAGUGCAGCUGAGUUGUUCCUUGGGAGAUAUAUUCAACAACUGCAGUGUUCUUGGUGAUGUUUUAAAAAGGUAUGUACCCAGAAGUAGAAUUGCUAGAUCAUAUGGAAGAGAUACCCCAGGUCCAAGAU
ensembl:lncRNA